rnacentral:rRNA from 1 species
GAUGAACGCUGGCGGCGUGCCUAAUACAUGCAAGUCGAGCGAACAGGCGAGGAGCUUGCUCCUCUGACGUUAGCGGCGGACGGGUGAGUAACACGUGGAUAACCUACCUAUAAGACUGGGAUAACUUCGGGAAACCGGAGCUAAUACCGGAUAAUAUAUUGAACCGCAUGGUUCAAUAGUGAAAGACGGUUUUGCUGUCACUUAUAGAUGGAUCCGCGCCGCAUUAGCUAGUUGGUAAGGUAACGGCUUACCAAGGCAACGAUGCGUAGCCGACCUGAGAGGGUGAUAGGCCACACUGGAACUGAGACACGGUCCAGACUCCUACGGGAGGCAGCAGUAGGGAAUCUUCCGCAAUGGGCGAAAGCCUGACGGAGCAACGCCGCGUGAGUGAUGAAGGUCUUCGGAUCGUAAAACUCUGUUAUUAGGGAAGAACAAAUGUGUAAGUAACUAUGCACGUCUUGACGGUACCUAAUCAGAAAGCCACGGCUAACUACGUG